GACGAACGCUGGCGGCGUGCCUAAUACAUGCAAGUCGAACGCUUCUUUCCUCCCGAGUGCUUGCACUCAAUUGGAAAGCGGAGUGGCGGACGGGUGAGUAACACGUGGGUAACCUACCCAUCAGAGGGGGAUAACACUUGGAAACAGGUGCUAAUACCGCAUAACAGUUUAUGCCGCAUGGCAUAAGAGUGAAAGGCGCUUUCGUGUGUCGCUGAUGGAUGGACCCGCGGUGCAUUAGCUAGUUGGUGGGGUAACGGCUCACCAAGGCGACGAUGCAUAGCCGACCUGAGAGGGUGAUCGGCCGCACUGGGACUGAGACACGGCCCAGACUCCUACGGGAGGCAGCAGUAGGGAAUCGUCGGCAAUGGACGAAAGUCUGACCGAGCAACGCCACGUGAGAGAAGAAGGUUUUCGGAUCGUAAUACUCUGUUGUUAGAGAAGAACAAGGACGUUAGUAACUGAACGUCCCCUGACGGUAUCUAACAAGAAAGCCACGGCUAACUACGUG
rnacentral:rRNA from 1 species